rnacentral:rRNA from 1 species
UACGGGGGGAGCAAGCGUUGUUCGGAUUUACUGGGCGUAAAGGGCGCGUAGGCGGCCACUGCAAGUCAGUUGUGAAAUCUCCGGGCUUAACCCGGAAAGGUCAACUGAUACUGCAGGGCUAGAGUGCAGGAGGGGCAACUGGAAUUCUCGGUGUAGCGGUGAAAUGCGCAGAUAUCAGGAAGAACACCCGUGGCGAAGGCGGCUCUCUGGUACGUGACUGACGCUGAGACGCGAAAGCGUGGGGAGCAAACAGG